CCCGAGGGAUUUGCCAAUCCCCUCCGCCCGCGCGUCAAAACCCUAGCCGCCAGCCCUGCUCGUCCCGAGCCUGCGCCCACUCCGCCCCGUUCUCCUCCCCGCUCCCUCCAUCCUCUCCCAUGGCGCCUCCCCUCUUCUCCCCACUCGCCUUGGCCGCGUCUUCUCCUCCCCCGCGUCGUCGGCCUCCUUCCUCCUCCUCCCCCCUCUCUCCUUCGUCAUCACACGGGUCUUCCGGCCAGCGCCGGGGUGCAGUUGACGGCGGCCUCAGCGGGUGGGCGAUGGCGGCCGCAGCUGAUGCACAAGCUCGCAUCGCCCUGGCGCCGAUCUCGCGCGGCUCCUGCGCCUCGCCACCCUCUUCUCCCCAGCUCAGCAGGAGGUUUGCGAGGCCACCACUUGGGCCGCUGCUGCCUCUUCCACCCAGCAGGAGGAGCACGAGGUGAGCAGCAACAACGGGGACAGGCGACCUCGGGGAGAGUUUGCGGAGGGGCGCAUAUCAGAUCCUUUCUGAAUCCGAUGGUGUCAAUCGAGCCACAGAGAGGAAGUGAGUUGGAGAUGAGAUGGGGACAGAAGAUCCUGCUCGGCUGGUUCCAAGACCGUGAGGGGAAGGACUUCCUGUUGUCCGCCGGAGGGGAAAGAGCAGAGAUCCGAGAGACGAAGCAACCAGAGGAGCCGGAGAACACGACCCCUGUCCUAUGUACCGGCCACAUCCCCCACAGCUUCUGCGAGGACCAGAUGCAAGGUUUCUUUUAGCAGCCUGGGGUUAUUAAGAAGAGGGUCAGUAUUGCCCAGAACCGCAAGAGAGUGGAAGUUUUAGAAUGGUGCGGACAGGUUGAGAGCAAUAGAUGUUUUUUUAAGUCCUAGGCGAGCACUCCAGAUUGUUACUAACGAGAAUGGAAUUCAAGAAGAUAUACUUUUGGCAUUGUCUUAUUACCUCUCGUAUCUGAUAGAUAACACAAAGUUAUCAGUUUAGUUGGAAAAAGAAAAAGUCCAGAUCAAUUGUGAGGAUAUGAUCAUUGGCAUACUUACCCCCUGAUGAUGCCUCAUUUCUUCAGAAUUUGAGGCUGUUCUUGAUAUGCCAGGACAAAUUUGAUUUUGGGAAGACAAAGGUCCGACAAGGAUGAGAAUGGGAUACCAGAUUACAACGAUGGAGGCUCGGACAUGGAUCUGCUCAUGCUCUCAGCGGGAAUACUGGAUGUUCUCGAAGCUUUGUCUUACACACGUGCUACUUUUGGCACUUGCGUGGGCUCCAGUUUGUGUCAAUGCAAUUUGCAUCUGUCAGCGGAUUAUGGUGAGCUUGGUUAUUGGCCUACAGGGUGCUCCACCGAUGGUGAAAAUACCUCACAGGAUGAUGUUGGAUAUUAUUCUACAAACUUCGGGCCUACCGGUGGCUGAGUAUCGAAGCAAAAUGUGACAGUGGCAUGAUGUGGAUGACUAUAAUUUCCAUACACCAACAUUAUCUUUUGGAGAUAAAAUAGCUGUAUGGCUAUUACAUGAGACCAUGUCAGAAGACCCUGCUGCUAUGGAAGCAAAAUGAUUCAUGAAAUCUGCGGUGAAAACAGAGAUAAGAUACUACAAUUACAGCAGCAUUGAGAAACCGAGGACACGAAAUGAGUCUGAAAAAUGCUAUGGGCUAAUUCGUUCUAGCUAGGCGAUUUGUGGUAGAAGCUGUACUCACAGGAAGACUAUCGUGCUGUGUAUAAACCACGUUCUACGAUUCACUUCUGUUAUGCAUAUUUACUUUCCAGUUUUAGGACUGAAAUCCAUCCAUUGUAAUGAAUUUGGUUGUAUGGGCAUUACCUAUUUGACUUAGGCUUGCUUCAUCACAUAUAGAUUGCUUUUCUUUUCCCCACUACUUGUAUGACCUAAAACUAUCAUGUAUAUGAGGCAAGUUAUUAGCAAUGUUUCACA